rnacentral:ncRNA from 1 species
GGGAGGGAAAGGAGAGAAGGUCAGCCCUCCCCUUGACAAGGAUGCAAGAGGUCCUAAUGUCCUUACAACACAUAUAUGUUUUUUAUAAUGUGCUACAGUUAUUUACUGACAUUAAAAUAAUAAAAUAAGGUUGUAU